rnacentral:rRNA from 1 species
GGGUUGUGAGGUUAAGCGACUAAGCGUACACGGUGGAUGCCCUGGCAGUCAGAGGCGAUGAAGGACGUGCUAAUCUGCGAUAAGCGUCGGUAAGGUGAUAUGAACCGUUAUAACCGGCGAUUUCCGAAUGGGGAAACCCAGUGUGAUUCGUCACACUAUCAUUAACUGAAUCCAUAGGUUAAUGAGGCGAACCGGGGGAACUGAAACAUCUAAGUACCCCGAGGAAAAGAAAUCAACCGAGAUUCCCCCAGUAGCGGCGAGCGAACGGGGAGGAGCCCAGAGCCUGAAUCAGUGUGUGUGUUAGUGGAAGCGUCUGGAAAGGCGCGCGAUACAGGGUGACAGCCCCGUACACAAAAAUGCACAUGCUGUGAGCUCGAUGAGUAGGGCGGGACACGUGGUAUCCUGUCUGAAUAUGGGGGGACCAUCCUCCAAGGCUAAAUACUCCUGACUGACCGAUAGUGAACCAGUACCGUGAGGGAAAGGCGAAAAGAACCCCGGCGAGGGGAGUGAAAAAGAACCUGAAACCGUGUACGUACAAGCAGUGGGAGCCUCUUAAUGGGGUGACUGCGUACCUUUUGUAUAAUGGGUCAGCGACUUAUAUUCUGUAGCAAGGUUAACCGAAUAGGGGAGCCGAAGGGAAACCGAGUCUUAACUGGGCGUUAAGUUGCAGGGUAUAGACCCGAAACCCGGUGAUCUAGCCAUGGGCAGGUUGAAGGUUGGGUAACACUAACUGGAGGACCGAACCGACUAAUGUUGAAAAAUUAGCGGAUGACUUGUGGCUGGGGGUGAAAGGCCAAUCAAACCGGGAGAUAGCUGGUUCUCCCCGAAAGCUAUUUAGGUAGCGCCUCGUGAAUUCAUCUCCGGGGGUAGAGCACUGUUUCGGCAAGGGGGUCAUCCCGACUUACCAACCCGAUGCAAACUGCGAAUACCGGAGAAUGUUAUCACGGGAGACACACGGCGGGUGCUAACGUCCGUCGUGAAGAGGGAAACAACCCAGACCGCCAGCUAAGGUCCCAAAGUCAUGGUUAAGUGGGAAACGAUGUGGGAAGGCCCAGACAGCCAGGAUGUUGGCUUAGAAGCAGCCAUCAUUUAAAGAAAGCGUAAUAGCUCACUGGUCGAGUCGGCCUGCGCGGAAGAUGUAACGGGGCUAAACCAUGCACCGAAGCUGCGGCAGCGACACUAUGUGUUGUUGGGUAGGGGAGCGUUCUGUAAGCCUGUGAAGGUGGCCUGUGAGGGUUGCUGGAGGUAUCAGAAGUGCGAAUGCUGACAUAAGUAACGAUAAAGCGGGUGAAAAGCCCGCUCGCCGGAAGACCAAGGGUUCCUGUCCAACGUUAAUCGGGGCAGGGUGAGUCGACCCCUAAGGCGAGGCCGAAAGGCGUAGUCGAUGGGAAACAGGUUAAUAUUCCUGUACUUGGUGUUACUGCGAAGGGGGGACGGAGAAGGCUAUGUUGGCCGGGCGACGGUUGUCCCGGUUUAAGCGUGUAGGCUGGUUUUCCAGGCAAAUCCGGAAAACCAAGGCUGAGGCGUGAUGACGAGGCACUACGGUGCUGAAGUGACAAAUGCCCUGCUUCCAGGAAAAGCCUCUAAGCAUCAGGUAACAUCAAAUCGUACCCCAAACCGACACAGGUGGUCAGGUAGAGAAUACCAAGGCGCUUGAGAGAACUCGGGUGAAGGAACUAGGCAAAAUGGUGCCGUAACUUCGGGAGAAGGCACGCUGAUAUGUAGGUGAAGCGACUUGCUCAUGGAGCUGAAAUCAGUCGAAGAUACCAGCUGGCUGCAACUGUUUAUUAAAAACACAGCACUGUGCAAACACGAAAGUGGACGUAUACGGUGUGACGCCUGCCCGGUGCCGGAAGGUUAAUUGAUGGGGUUAGCGGUAACGCGAAGCUCUUGAUCGAAGCCCCGGUAAACGGCGGCCGUAACUAUAACGGUCCUAAGGUAGCGAAAUUCCUUGUCGGGUAAGUUCCGACCUGCACGAAUGGCGUAAUGAUGGCCAGGCUGUCUCCACCCGAGACUCAGUGAAAUUGAACUCGCUGUGAAGAUGCAGUGUACCCGCGGCAAGACGGAAAGACCCCGUGAACCUUUACUAUAGCUUGACACUGAACAUUGAGCCUUGAUGUGUAGGAUAGGUGGGAGGCUUUGAAGUGUGGACGCCAGUCUGCAUGGAGCCGACCUUGAAAUACCACCCUUUAAUGUUUGAUGUUCUAACGUUGGCCCCUAAUCGGGGUUGCGGACAGUGUCUGGUGGGUAGUUUGACUGGGGCGGUCUCCUCCUAAAGAGUAACGGAGGAGCACGAAGGUUGGCUAAUCCUGGUCGGACAUCAGGAGGUUAGUGCAAUGGCAUAAGCCAGCUUGACUGCGAGCGUGACGGCGCGAGCAGGUGCGAAAGCAGGUCAUAGUGAUCCGGUGGUUCUGAAUGGAAGGGCCAUCGCUCAACGGAUAAAAGGUACUCCGGGGAUAACAGGCUGAUACCGCCCAAGAGUUCAUAUCGACGGCGGUGUUUGGCACCUCGAUGUCGGCUCAUCACAUCCUGGGGCUGAAGUAGGUCCCAAGGGUAUGGCUGUUCGCCAUUUAAAGUGGUACGCGAGCUGGGUUUAGAACGUCGUGAGACAGUUCGGUCCCUAUCUGCCGUGGGCGCUGGAGAACUGAGGGGGGCUGCUCCUAGUACGAGAGGACCGGAGUGGACGCAUCACUGGUGUUCGGGUUGUCAUGCCAAUGGCACUGCCCGGUAGCUAAAUGCGGAAGAGAUAAGUGCUGAAAGCAUCUAAGCACGAAACUUGCCCCGAGAUGAGUUCUCCCUGAGACUUAGAGUCUCCUGAAGGAACGUUGAAGACGACGACGUUGAUAGGCCGGGUGUGUAAGCGCAGCGAUGCGUUGAGCUAACCGGUACUAAUGAACCGUGAGGCUUAACCUUACAACGCCGAAG